UGCAUGGUUGUCGUCAGCUCGUGUCGUGAGAUGUUGGUUAAGUCCGCAACGAGCGCAACCCCUAUUGUUAGUUGCCAUCAUUCAGUUGGGCACUCUAGCGAGACUGCCGGUAAUAAACCGGAGGAAGGUGGGGAUGACGUCAAAUCAUCAUGCCCCUUAUGACCUGGGCUACACACGUGCUACAAUGGUUGGUACAACGAGUUGCGAGUCGGUGACGGCGAGCUAAUCUCUUAAAGCCAAUCUCAGUUCGGAUUGUAGGCUGCAACUCGCCUACAUGAAGUCGGAAUCGCUAGUAAUCGCGGAUCAGCACGCCGCGGUGAAUACGUUCCCGGGCCUU
rnacentral:rRNA from 1 species